rnacentral:rRNA from 1 species
CUGAAGCCACGUUGUGAGGCGUGGUGGAGCGAUGCGAAGAGAGAAUGUCGGCAUAAGUAGCAAAAAGACAGGUGAAAAUCCUGUCCACCGUAAACCCGAGGUUUCCAGGGCAACGCGAAUCGUCCCUGGGUUAGUCGGGCCUAAGGCGAGGCCGAAAGGCGUAGUCGAUGGACAGCAGGUUAAUAUUCCUGCACUGCCUUCAGGUUUCAAUGGAGUGACGUGUUCUUGAGUUUUUCGAGGAUCCCGGAAUGAUCCUUCGGGGGCGUUGGGGCGUGGGAUAGGCAAAUCCGUUCCACAUUAACCUCGGCGUUAGCGCGAGUCCUGCCUUUGGCGGGGCAAGGAAAGAGGAGAGGACACCUAGAAAACCUUCUAGAGUUAACCUGUAGGCAUCCGUACCGCAAACCGACACAGGUGGGUGGGCAUAAGAGUGCUAAGGUGUACGAGAGAAACCAUGUUUAGGAACUCGGCAAUACAGCGGCCGUAACUUCGGGAUAAGGCCUGCCACGUAGAGCGCAAGCUUUUACGUGGCUUCAACAAAAGACGCAAACCGACUGUUUACCAAAAACACAGCUUCCUGCUAAACCGCAAGGUGAUGUAUAGGAAGUGAUGCCUGGCCAGUGUCAGAACGUCAAGCGGAGAGGUCAUGGGCGCAAGCUCGGCAGCCUUGAAGCCAAGCGCUGAUGAACGCCGGCGAUAACUAUAGACAUGAUUGUAGUUAUCUAAAAAAAUCUAGCUAUUUGCGGGAAACUCCGCGUAGGUCAUCCGUACGUACAGGUCAUGCUGUUGUCACAAUCGGAUGAAUAAUAUGAUCACAAGAUCAUUGGCGGACAAUCCGCAGGAAAGACUUCUAUGAGUACUUCAAGCACAUGGCUUGAUCAGAUUCCUGCGAGAAUAGGUUACUAUCUCGCGGGAUUCGUCGAUGGCGAAGGAAGCUUUAUUGCUUCUGUCCGUCGUCGGCAAGAUCACGCAAGUGGAUGGCAAGUAGAACUGACAUUUAACGUGUCGCAGAAAGAACGGCACAUCCUGGCAUACUUCAAACGGUAUCUGGGAUGCGGUCGCUUCCAACAGCGACCGGAUGGCAUUUUUUACUUCGUCGUCUCAAAUCAACGAUCCAUUCAGAAACGGGUCAUCCCGUUCUUCGAAAAGUUUUCGUUUCUCUCGCAACGUAAGCAAUCCAACUUCGCUAUCUUCAAAAAGAUCUCGUCGUUGAUUGCUCGGCAAGAGCAUCUCACAUCGCAAGGGCUUGAACAGAUCAUGCAUCUGCGAGAGCGCUUGAAUGAGGGAAGAGGUAGGACUCGAAAGUAUUCGUUGCAUGAUUAUCAACAAUCACGCGUAGAAGAAUCCUCAGAGACUAUACGCUAGACCUGCCACAACUUCUUCGAAGAAGAAGUUGGCGGGAAGAUAUAGUCCGAUCUCAUGGGAGACCAUGAGCCCCGUAUCGCUCAACCGGGGGUUCGUGAAAACGAAUUAACAGCAUAAAUCGUCCUAAGGUGAAUCAACGUUGCCUUAGUGAGGUGAAAGCCCUCCUUCGAACUUCCGUAUGCCAUGGAAGAUGUAGAAGAAAACUUGGCUAUAUGCUGGAACCGCCGUGUAUCCGGUGCUACCCCGACAUUACGUCGGGGUGACAAUGCAACCGGUGCGGCCAAUCAGCAGGGAAGAAUUCAAGAAAGGCAAGCUCAAUGAGAAAAUAUGUGAUCAUCGCGCAACCUGGCGGCGACCCCGUCGAAGACGAAGCAGAUGAUCAUGUUGGAAACUGCCCAACGAAAAACAAACUGAAUUCCCCUCAGAGACUACACGCCAGAAGGAGUCUCCUCGGACCGAAACGACGAAAGUCAAAGUAGGUCCAUCGAAUCUUCUAAGAUAUAGUCCGACCUGCCUCGACGUGAAGUCGGGAUCCCGUUUCUCUGAAUUUUUCAGGAGCGGGACAUGGCGACAUGCAGAGUGCGACAGAAAUGAUCGCACCGUGUCGAAAGACAUGUAACACAGAGAGCGAAAUUCCUUGUCGGGUGAGUUCCGACCCGCACGAAUGGCAUAACGAGUUUGCGACUGUCUCAACAUGGUACUCGGCGAAAUUGCAAGUGGGGUGAAGAUGCCCUGUACGCGUAGUCAGACGAAAAGACCCCGUGAAGCUUUACUAUAACUUGAUAUUGGGUCGCGGUUUUGCCUGUUCAGAAUAGGUGGGAGCCUUCGGGCGCCAGUGAGAUACCACCCUUGCAUUCCCGCGAUUCUUGAUCUCUAUCCGUGAAACCGGAUGGGGAGACAGUAUCUGGUGGGUAGUUUAACUGGGGCGGUUGCCUCCUAAAAGGUAACGGAGGCGUUCACUAAGGUCGGCUAAGCGCGGAUGGAAAUCGCGCUGAUUCCGCAAUGGGAUAAGCCGGCUUAACUGCAAGACCAACAAGUCGAGCAGAUGCGAAAGCAGGACAUAGUGAUCCGACCGUACGAUAUCGGACGGCGGAAGCUCAACGGAUAAAAGCUACUCCGGGGAUAACAGGCUGAUCUCCUCCAAGAGUCCACAUCGACGAGGAGGUUUGGCACCUCGAUGUCGGCUCAUCGCAUCCUGGGGCUGAAGAAGGUCCCAAGGGUUUGGCUGUUCGCCAAUUAAAGCGGUACGCGAGCUGGGUUCAGAACGUCGUGAGACAGUUCGGUCUCCUGUCUACUACGCGCGUGGAAUAUUGAGAGGGCGAUUCUCUAGUACGAGAGGACCGA